UUCUGGUUGAUCCUGCCGGACCUGACUGCUAUCGGGAUUGGUACUAAGCCAUGCGAGUCGUUGUAGCAAUACAAGGCGGACGGCUCAGUAACACGUAGUCAAUCUACCUUAUGGACGGGGAUAACCUCGGGAAACUGAGAAUAAUACCCGAUAGAUCAUAAUUCCUGGAAUGGUUUAUGGUCCAAAUGAUUUAUCGCCAUAGGAUGGGACUGCGGCCUAUCAGCUUGUUGGUGAGGUAAUGGCCCACCAAGGCUAUAACAGGUACGGGCUCUGAGAGGAGAAGCCCGGAGAUGGGUACUGAGACACGGACCCAGGCCCUAUGGGGCGCAGCAGGCGAGAAACCUUAGCAAUGUGCGAAAGCACGACUAGGUUAAUCCGAGUGAUUUCUGCUGAAGGAAUCUAUUGUCAGUUCUAAAUCUACUGGUGAAUAAGGGGUGGGCAAGUCUGGUGUCAGCCGCCGCGGUAAUAC
rnacentral:rRNA from 1 species